GGAAGGUUAUUUUAAUGAGAAUUCCAAUUUAGCAGUUUGGAGGUUAUUUUUCCA
rnacentral:tRNA from 1 species